rnacentral:misc_RNA from 4 species
AACGCACAUUGCGCCCCUUGGUAUUCCAUGGGGCAUGCCUGUUCGAGCGUCAUUUGUACCCUCAAGCUCAGUCUUGGUGUUGGGUGUUUGUCCUGCCCUCGCGGCGGACUCGCCUUAAAGUGAUUGGCAGCCGGAAUAAUUCUGGGGAACGCAGCACAACUGCAGCCUCUAGUCUUAUACGCCGAGCGUCCAACAAGCCUUUUAUUCUUGCGUUUGACCUCGGAUCAGGUAGGGAUACCCGCUGAACUUAA